rnacentral:sRNA from 1 species
GAUACCAGGGUUCCAAGCUCUUAUACACGCAUGAGCUUGCUCAUAUGCGUGUAUAAGAAUUUGGAACCCGCCAAAAUAUGAGCAUAAAAGUGGGACGAUAGUCCCACGAUAUGCGAAUAUUUUGUAGGAUUGUGAGAGCACGAAGUGCGACCAAUCCGUAGGUAUC